UUCUCCUGGUCCACCUAUCGGCUCUGAGGUUUAAACAUGGCGGCUCCUGUUUUCCUCUCAGCUCUGGUGCCAAACGGCAGUCCCACAGGCAUCAUUCCCAGAAAUGGUUAGGGUUAAUGGAACGAUUGUUAUCACGAGUGGCCAGAUUAUAUUUUUUGAUGUGAUACAGUCAAAACCCAGAGAACUUGGGUGGAUCCUUGGCAUUCCCUUCUUGGAUGGACCCUGUGAACAUGAAAACAAGACAGAAAAUGAAAACCAUGGCUUCAGGCUGCUAAAAACCUAACAUGAAACAAAACAGAAGAAUAACAACAAAAUAAGGUUGCUGACCAGACCUCAACAGUGAGGGAAUUUACCUCCCGCUUCAUGCAUGCAACAUCAAAAUAGAAGAGUGACCUAUGGGAUCCAUGGAGGAGCUGUUUCCCUAAUCUGUGUAAAGUAGAUCUUGCCAUGUAAUAGGGUGACUGCGACUGCACUGGCCAUGAAGAGGCACAACUCGGACCUCGGAUCUCCUGCUGCAGAGAACAUUGACUGACAGCCCAGCAGCUCCUGUCUGGAUCUACCACCUGUUCACAGUGAGGCCAAUGUCCCCCAGGCUGCUCCCAGACCAGGGCUGAGCAUGGCACGGUCCUAAUGCUCUUAAAGACCUCUAGAUCUCCCUAGAGAUGUAGGACUCUUCCAACAGGCCACUUUGGCUCAGGGCUCCCCAUCAGCUGGCCUAACCUUUCUAGGAACUGUGCUGUGGCUAAGGCUCUCUCAGCCCAACCCUGCCCUUCUCCCUCUCCUUCACAGGGGCCAGACCUGCACUUCCACCUGCAGGAUCUCUUUGCCUGCUUCUGCUCCCUCCCCUUUCCUUAACAUGGGCUCCCCAGUAAAUCGUUUACAUGUUUAAUCCUGACUCUGCAUCUGCUUCUCCAAGGACCCAAACUAACUCACAUACAGUAGAAAAUGAUUGACUUUUGACUUGGUCCUGGAUUCAUAUCUUGUCUCUGCCGCUUACUAACAACAUAAACUUCCAUCACUCAACCCCUCCUUAUUUUCCUCAUCAAUUAAAACAUUUCUUACUCCUAAAGUUAUGGUGAAUAUUGGAAGAGGUAAUUUUGGAAGAGCACCUGUGAUGUGCCUCCUAGAACAGGGAUAGUUUGUUCCUUUCUCGUCAUUAUCCUUUAGCAGUGAUGGAAUGGGACUCUAUGCUGCUGAGUUUUGAUAAGAGAUUGUAAGGAAGUGAGAGAGGAAGAAUACCAGCUGCGGCACAUGGCAAGUCUGCCUCCUGGGUCAGGUUCCCCUGACAGCUUUGGUGCCUGGGGCAUAAAGAUGCUGGGUGCCAGGGAAGGGAAGGAUAGGGCACUGGAGGGAGACCAAAUUCAAUCAUUUUAAAUCCAGUCCCCAGUUCUGUGCAAUUCUUAGUGUAAAGUUUUUAAAAAGAACAUUAAAGACAGUUACAAAGCCGAGAAA